rnacentral:rRNA from 1 species
GAUGAACGCUAGCUACAGGCUUAACACAUGCAAGUCGCAGGGUAACAUGAGGAAAGCUUGCUUUCCUUGAUGACGACUGGCGCACGGGUGAGUAACGCGUAUCCAACCUUCCCAUAACUACGGGAUAACCCGUUGAAAGACGGCCUAAUACCGUAUGAUAUCGUUUGCUGACAUCAAAUAACGAUUAAAGGUUUAGCGGUUAUGGAUGGGGAUGCGUCUGAUUAGCUUGUUGGCGGGGUAACGGCCCACCAAGGCUACGAUCAGUAGGGGUUCUGAGAGGAAGGUCCCCCACAUUGGAACUGAGACACGGUCCAAACUCCUACGGGAGGCAGCAGUGAGGAAUAUUGGUCAAUGGGCGAGAGCCUGAACCAGCCAAGUAGCGUGCAGGAUGACGGCCCUAUGGGUUGUAAACUGCUUUUAUGUGGGGAUAAAGUGCGUGACGUGUCAUGCAUUGCAGGUACCACAUGAAUAAGGACCGGCUAAUUCCGUGCCAGCAGCCGCGGUAAUACGGAAGGUCCGGGCGUUAUCCGGAUUUAUUGGGUUUAAAGGGAGCGUAGGCUGUCUAUUAAGCGUGUUGUGAAAUUUACCGGCUCAACCGGUGGCUUGCAGCGCGAACUGGUCGACUUGAGUAUGCAGGAAGUAGGCGGAAUUCAUGGUGUAGCGGUGAAAUGCUUAGAUAUCAUGACGAACUCCGAUUGCGCAGGCAGCUUACUGGAGCACAACUGACGCUGAAGCUCGAAAGUGCGGGUAUCGAACAGG